AUCCACAUGAUACUGGUCUGUACUGGUGUGAGUCCAUGUCUGGAUCCUCCAGCAGCAGCAGCAGCAUCCAGCUCUCUGUCUCUGGUGGAUCAGUGAUCCUGCAGAGUCCUGUCCUCCCUGUGAUGGAGGGAGAUGACGUCACUCUGAGCUGCAGAGCAAAGAAUCCAACCCACAACCUCCCAGCUGCUUUCUAUAAAGAUGGCUCCUUCAUUGGUGAUGGACCAUCAGGUCACAUGACCCUCCUCCAUGUUUCCAGCUCUGAUGAAGGCCUCUAUAAAUGUAACAUCAGCCGUCAUGGAGAGUCUCCAUCCAGCAGGAUCUCUGUCAAAGGUCAGAG